rnacentral:rRNA from 1 species
CACGUAGGGGACGAGCGUUGUCCGGAUUCAUUGGGCGUAAAGAGCGUGUAGGCGGUUAUGCAGGUCCGCUGUGAAAACUGGAGGCUUAACCUCCAGACGUCGGUGGAAACCGUAUGACUAGAGUCCGGAAGAGGAGAGUGGAAUUCCUGGUGUAGCGGUGAAAUGCGCAGAUAUCAGGAAGAACACCCGUGGCGAAGGCGGCUCUCUGGGACGGUACUGACGCUGAGACGCGAAAGCGUGGGGGAGCGAACAGG